UACGGGGGGGGCAAGCGUUGUUCGGAAUUACUGGGCGUAAAGGGUGCGUAGGCGGUGCGGCAAGUUGGGAGUGAAAUCUCUGGGCUUAACCCAGAGGCUGCUUCCAAAACUGCUGUGCUUGAGUGUGGGAGAGGCGCGUGGAAUUGCAGGUGUAGCGGUGAAAUGCGUAGAUAUCUGCAGGAACACCCGUGGCGAAAGCGGCGCGCUGGACCACUACUGACGCUGAGGAACGAAAGCUAGGGGAGCAAACAGG
rnacentral:rRNA from 1 species